rnacentral:lncRNA from 1 species
CUUCCAUAAAUCAUAACUCCUUAACCUUGACUCCAAUUUUACUAGUUCUCGUUCCCUCGAUCUCGUAGCGACGCGUAGAUCAUUAUUAUACAGUUCAUUCUUAUAUUUGGUGUGAUGUUAAUCUUGUCUAUACCAUGUUUGGUUGUAUUUCUACGACUAGUGUGAGGUCACGAGUCACCUGAAGAUCAUCCUGUUACCUGGAAUCUCAAGUCCUAGGCAAGUUGUGCCCUUGACCACUUUUUAUUACCCAAUAAUGUUCUUUAUAAUCAUUAAUUCAUGCAUAGGUUUAAUUUUGAUGGGACCCAAUAGGUCACCCUAGUCUGAUUAUCGUAUUACCUUGUUUAACCCUGCACUAUUUGGGUAGUUUUGCUAUUGCUUUAUAUGGUUUUGGGUUUAAUAUUACAUUAUCUUCAUGUUACAGCUAUUCUAUUAUUUUAUUUAUGUUCAUGUCAACAUCAUUAUAUUUUUAAUUGGAACAUGGAGCUUAACUUGAGAAACAUGUGCCACCACAAGGGUGGAAUGAGAUGCCCUUGGCUGACUAAUUAGGAAAGCUAGUGGAAGACUACCUUGCCCGAAAGGGGCAAGGGCAGUAGGGGAGUAGGCAUGCAGGGAGGUUUUCGGGUUGAUUUUGCUGCGAUGGCGGUCAGACGAGGGAUUCUUGCAAUUGCUCUUCCCAUAAACUGUAGCGGGUUUUCGGAAGCUAUUGGAACUUUGUAAAGGCCUCGUAGAGGAUCCCUAGCCAUUCACCUCGGUAGUGUCUAAGGGUCUAGCUAACCCUGGCGAGAUGCGAUACACGACUUGUGGGUACAUGGUACAACCUCUGUAGAGUGUAAAACUGGUAUACUAGCGGAGCUCACAGUCAAGAGUAGCUCAGGACUCUUGCAUGAUUAAAUUAUGGAACUAAAUUCAAUUUGUCAUUUGCAUUGCAUGGGAUUUAUUAUUAAUUUUGUUUUAUUAUUAUUAUGGUUUGGUAUUUACUUACAUGUAGUAAUUGCUAAUAAAAUUUUGACCAAUUUUAAAAGCAAUGCUCAACUUUAACCAUUAUCUUUGGUAAGCCUUACACUUCACAUGAGCUCCCACCUUUGGCGAGUUCAUGCACAUUAUUUGAUGAGGACAUCACUAUGAGUAAGACUACACCAG